rnacentral:rRNA from 1 species
AAUGAACGUUGGCGGCGUGGAUUAGGCAUGCAAGUCGUGCGGCAGCAGGCCCCGCAAGGGGUGCUGGCGAGCGGCGAAAGGGAUAGUAAUGUGUGGAUACCUGCCCUGGGGACGGGGAUAGCUGCUGGAAACGGCAAUUAAUACCCGAUGAUGUCUCCGGACCAAAGGUGUAAUUCCGCCCUAGGAGGGGUCCACAUCCUAUUAGCUAGUUGGUGAGGUAACGGCUCACCAAGGCCACGAUGGGUAGCGGGUGUGAGAGCACGACCCGCAUCACUGGGACUGAGACACUGCCCAGACACCUACGGGUGGCUGCAGUCGAGGAUCUUCGGCAAUGAGCGAAAGCUUGACCGAGCGACGCCGCGUGCGGGAUGAAGGCCUUCGGGUUGUAAACCGCUUUCGGAGGGGAGGAAAUCUAGGGGGGAUCACCCUUCUAGUUGACCUAUCCUAGGAAGAAGGACGGGCUAAGUUCGUGCCAGCCGCCGCGGUAAUAC